AGAAAAUGAAGAAAACUAUUAAUUCUAUUCAGAAAUGUUCAAGUUUGAAAGCAUAGAUUUUAUGAAAUGAAAAGUGGAAAAAUAGUGUACUUUGCUAUUAAUAGAAAACAACAGACAAUGGAAAAUUUAAGAAGGAAACUGUAAACAAUCUGUUGUAUAAAUUUGAAAGCAGUUAUGAAUAUCGGAGGUGUGAAAGAAAAUUUAAGAAAGUUUUGUAAAAGAUCACAGCAUGUUUCCUUAUGAAAAAUUUAAGAAGAGUAAACUGAUUAUUCAUGAUUUGGGAUGAAAAUGUUUACUGUUUAUAAUGACGUUAGAAGCUUCAAAAAUAACAUCAAGAAGCAUUAAGAAUGACAUGAAGAUGUUCUCGGAAGAGACUAUUAAUCAGGAAAUUUUGAAAAUAUGCUGUGUUUCCAAUCAAGAUCCAACUUUACUCGACCGAUUGGAUGGAUGGAUUCUUAAGCUCUGUUUGCGGACGAAGGAGAACAUCUACUCUAUAUUUAACGCAGCAACGAAGGCGACCUGUCUGUCCUUAUUGUUUGAAAUCUUUUUACGA
rnacentral:lncRNA from 1 species